ACGGCCUGGCGCGCUUCUACAGCUACAUGAACCCUGCAGGCUACAUCGCUGAAGGCAUCAAUCAGCUGUGUAUCCCCGAGAUAACUCUCAUGCAGCCCGGUGAUCAUUUAGAUAACGACUGCGAUGGCAAAAUCGACGAGGAGACAGCGAACGAAAGAGAUGAUGAUAACGACAACGUAGUCGAUGAAGAUCUCGUCUUCGGGAAUCAGA